AAUGGGCGCAAGCCUGACGGAGCAAGACCGCGUGAGGGAGGAAGGCUCUUGGGUUGUAAACCUCUUUUAUCAGGGAAGAAGAUCUGACGGUACCUGAUGAAUCAGCAUCGGCUAACUCCGUGCCAGCAGCCGCGGUAAUACGGAGGAUGCAAGCGUUAUCCGGAUUUAUUGGGCGUAAAGCGUCCGCAGGUGGUUUUUCAAGUCUGCUGUUAAAGCGCAGAGCUUAACUCUGUAACGGCGGUGGAAACUGAGAGACUAGAGUAUGGUAGGGGUUGCGGGAAUUCCCAGUGUAGCGGUGAAAUGCGUAGAUAUUGGGAAGAACACCAGCGGCGAAAGCGCGCAACUGGGCCAUUACUGACACUCAUGGACGAAAGCUAGGGGAGCGAAAGGGAUUAGAUACCCC
rnacentral:rRNA from 1 species